rnacentral:rRNA from 2 species
AGACCCGAAACCCGGUGAUCUAGCCAUGGGCAGGUUGAAGGUUGGGUAACACUAACUGGAGGACCGAACCGACUAAUGUUGAAAAAUUAGCGGAUGACCUGUGGCUGGGGGUGAAAGGCCAAUCAAACCGGGAGAUAGCUGGUUCUCCCCGAAAGCUAUUUAGGUAGCGCCUCGUGAAUUCAUCUCCGGGGGUAGAGCACUGUUUCGGCUAGGGGGCCAUCCCGGCUUACCAACCCGAUGCAAACUGCGAAUACCGGAGAAUGUUAUCACGGGAGACACACGGCGGGUGCUAACGUCCGUCGUGAAGAGGGAAACAACCCAGACCGCCAGCUAAGGUCCCAAAGUCAUGGUUAAGUGGGAAACGAUGUGGGAAGGCCCAGACAGCCAGGAUGUUGGCUUAGAAGCAGCCAUCAUUUAAAGAAAGCGUAAUAGCUCACUGGUCGAGUCGGCCUGCGCGGAAGAUGUAACGGGGCUAAACCAUGCACCGAAGCUGCGGCAGCGAACGUAUCACUUAAAGCGAUUCAGCGGGUUACGAUUGACGGAGCGAAGCGACGUCAAAGCGUAUACAAAGUCGAGUCGGUUUAAGGAUACGUUCGUUGGGUAGGGGAGCGUUCUGUAAGCCUGUGAAGGUGUGUCGUGAGGCAUGCUGGAGGUAUCA